rnacentral:rRNA from 1 species
GUGGGGAAUUUUGGACAAUGGGCGCAAGCCUGAUCCAGCAAUGCCGCGUGCAGGAAGAAGGCCUUCGGGUUGUAAACUGCUUUUGUACGGAACGAAACGGUCCGGGUUAAUACCCUGGGCUAAUGACGGUACCGUAAGAAUAAGCACCGGCUAACUACGUGCCAGCAGCCGCGGUAAUACGUAGGGUGCAAGCGUUAAUCGGAAUUACUGGGCGUAAAGCGUGCGCAGGCGGGUUUGUAAGACAGGCGUGAAAUCCCCGGGCUCAACCUGGGAAUUGCGCUUGUGACUGCAAGGCUGGAGUGCGGCAGAGGGGGAUGGAAUUCCGCGUGUAGCAGUGAAAUGCGUAGAUAUGCGGAGGAACACCGAUGGCGAAGGCAAUCCCCUGGGCCUGCACUGACGCUCAUGCACGAAAGCGUGGGGAGCAAACAGGAUUAGAUACCCUAGUAGUCC